AUGGCGGAAGGCAAUGGCGACUGGUAGAAGAUAUUAAUCAAAAAUCAGAAGAUCGUGGUGAUGGUGAAAGAACACAGGAUUACCCAAAACUGUUGGAAUAUGGCUUAGAUAAAAAAGUUGCCGGUAAACUUGAUGAUAUUAUAAAACAGGUAAACUCGCCCAUGUAGAAUUAGAUGAACGCGCACUGGAUGCGCUCAAAGAGUUUCCGGUUGAUGGUGCCUUGAAUGUAUUAAGUCAGUUCCUUGAAUCAAAUUUGGAACAUGUAUCGAAUAAAUCUGCCUAUUUAUGUGGGGUUAUGAAAACCUAUCGACAAAAAAGUCGAGCCAGUCAACAGGGUGUACCGACACCAGCCACAACAGUGCAAGUUAAAGGACCAGAUGAGGAAAAAAUCAAAAAAAUCUUAGAACGUACCGGUUAUACUUUAGAUGUAACCACGGGCCAGCGCAAAUAUGGUGGACCACCACCCAAUUGGGAUGGUCCAGUACCAGGUAACGGUUGCGAGGUAUUUUGUGGGAAAAUACCAAAAGAUAUGUUUGAAGAUGAACUCAUACCCCUGUUCGAAAACUGUGGCACCAUCUGGGAUCUACGAUUAAUGAUGGACCCCAUGACCGGUACAAAUCGUGGCUAUGCAUUUGUAACAUUCACCACAAGAGAAGCUGCAUCGAAUGCCGUUAAACAGCUCGAUAAUCAUGAAAUAAAACCCGGCAAGUGUCUGAAAAUUAAUAUAAGUGUGCCCAACCUGCGCCUGUUUGUAGGCAAUAUACCCAAAUCAAAAGGCAAAGAGGAGAUUUUAGAGGAAUUUGGUAAAUUAACAGCCGGCCUUAUUGAAGUUAUAAUCUAUAGUUCACCAGAUGAUAAGAAGAAGAAUCGUGGUUUCUGUUUCCUUGAAUAUGAAUCACACAAAGCCGCUUCAUUAGCCAAACGGCGACUUGGCACUGGUAGAACUAAGGUUUGGGGAUGUGAUAUUAUUGUCGAUUGGGCAGAUCCACAGGAGGAGCCGGAUGAACAAACAAUGUCCAAAGUUAAAGUCUUGUACGUUAGAAACUUAACACAGGAUGUUACAGAAGAUAAAUUAAAGGAACAAUUUGAGCAAUAUGGCAAAGUUGAACGUGUUAAGAAAAUUAAAGACUAUGCUUUUGUGCAUUUUGAGGAUCGUGAUAGCGCUGUUGUGGCAAUGAGAGCAUUGAAUGGCAAAGAAGUUGGUGCUUCUAAUAUGGAGGUAUCUUUGGCAAAACCACCAUCGGAUAAAAAGAAAAAGGAGGAAAUAUUGCGUGCACGUGAACGCCGUAUGAUGCAAAUGAUGCAAGGACGUCCCGGUCUUGUAGGAAAUCUAUCACCAACACAUCCUGGCAUGAUACCCAUAGCUACGCCUAUGCGUUUACCCGGUGCUCCAAGGAUUCCGUUACGCACUUCAAUGCCCAGGGACUAUGAUUAUGAAUAUGACUUUUAUGGUUAUUCGGAUUAUCGCGGUGCCUAUCCAGAUUCUUAUUAUGAAGAUUUCUAUCGUACCUAUGAUGGAGAAUAUUUCUUUGAUUAUCCACCGGGCAGCGUGGCGCCAUUGCCACCCGGUGCCAUUGGUGGUGGGGGUCCUGUUGCCGGCGCCGCCGGUGGUUUGCCGAGAACAGCACGUACAAAUGUGGGGGUUGGCCGUGGGCGUGGAAUCACGGCGCGUGGCCGAACCGUUGGGCUCCGUGGCAACAUCAAUCGUCAGGGGGCCCCUCAAGCGGCGGUGGUGGCGGCGGCGGUGGCAGCUCAACGGGGGGCCACCGCUCAGGGGGCUCAGGCAGCAAUCGGGGGGGUCCGUGGGGUGGGACAAAUACGUCCCAGCGCUCGUGGCACUCAGCACGCCAAACCGCUACCAAAUUUACCAGCACCAGUCGGUAAACGUAAAUUUGAUGGAGGUCACCAAAAUCCAGCAGACAUUAAGCGACGUUACCCAGGCGGUUUAAUAGGAAAUGGCGGCAGUUGGGGCAGUUUACCACUACCACAACAACCAUUAGGCACUAAUGGCGAACAAUGGUAUACGGAUACGUUUUCUGCAUGGAGUUAAAAAAAUAAAAAUAUUCAAAAAAUCAAUAAAUUAAAAACAAAACUCACACAAAAUUUUAUAAAAAAAAAACAACAACAAAAUUUAUAACCCUCUUGAAAUUAUAUAUAUAUAUAUAAUAAAAAUUAAUAUUAUUAUAAAAUUUCAUAAUAAUGGCUACAACAAUAAGAAGAAAACUUCACACAAUAAUUAUUAUAUUUUGUUUCUAGAAAACAACAACAACACAAGCAAUACGAUAGGCAACAAAACAAACAUGCAAAAACAAAUAUAUAACAACAUAACAGUACAUUUUUCUAUCAUUAAGCAAACGCAAAAAGUUGACAAAACAAAAAUCAGUAGGAAUUUGCAACACAAGAAAAUGGGAAAAUAUAAACACAGGCGUCCUCCUUUUAAAAAAGAUGGCAAAAGCAAACAUAUUUAAUUACAACAACAUAAUACAUUUUUAUUAUAUUCUCAAAUAAUAAUAACAAAAAUAACAAUAAAGUAGAAACCACAAAAAAUCAGCUUAAUUUUUAAUCCCAGAAAACUAUAUAAGAAACAAUUUUAAGCACUUUUUUAUAUUAAAGAAAUUAAAAAAAAAACAUUUUACACAAUUAAAGAAAAAAAAAAAAACAUUGUUUUUUAAACACACGUCUUAUCUUAUGAGUUGCAAAAGAGUAUAUUUUAUUACUUUGAAUUAUUUUGGUCUCAAUUGUUUUAAUUAACCUUUCCAUGAAAAAAAAACUAACGAAAGAGAAAAAUCAAUUUCAAAAAAAAUCUAAGCAAAGCUUAACCAAAAAAACCAACAAGACACAAAAAGUAAAACAAAAUUUAUUUAUAUUUAAGACACAACAAAAACACACACAAAUUAUUGACUGAAUUCAAAGAAAUUGAAUUAAAAAAAACAACAAGGAAAACUUUUUCAAUCAUAGGCAUUGAUCAUAAUUACUUUUUUAUAAACCCAAAAAAGAUGACAAGAAAAACAUAAAAUUUAACAAAAAAUAUUGAUAAGAAAGUUAAAAACAACUGCAAAAUACUAAACUGAAGCUGUCAGAUAAAAAAUAAGCAAACAGUGGACUUUUUGUAAGGAAUUUGAGGGAAUGUUGACUUAACACAGAAAAAAUAACAAUAACGAAAGACAAAGGAAAUAUAAAGAAUAUUAACGUUUUAAUUAGUAUACAAUUAAGCAUUGCAAUAACAACAGUAAUGUAAAAAACAACAACACAAUUUGAUUGUAAAAUACUGGAUUACUGUUUCAAUUAUUUUUAUAUUUCCCCCAUUUCCCCGUUUUCUUUCAUUUUGUAAAACUACAGUAGAAAAUAAACACCGUCCAGCCUCCCCCAACAACUAUCUGGAGAAAAAUGUUUCUCUAUUGUUUCCAAAAUAAACUCAAAAUCACUUGGCCUGGAUAUUUUUCAUGGUUGCCCUUAACAUUUAUAUCUGUCAAAAUUUUUAUAGAACUUUUGGUCCCAUCUAUCAUUGAAAUGUGCCUUAGAUUAAAUAUUAUUAUACGAAACAAAUGUUUAAUGAAAUUUCCAAUAUUGUAUCUAUUUUUUUUUUUUGAAAUAACAUAUAAAAACACAAAUUUAAUUGAACUAAAAAAGUACGCUUUCCUAAAAGGCAUACAACAUUUAUUGCGCCUAAAACAAUGCAACACAUUUUUCACAUAAAGCAUGAAAUUGGUAGACUCAAAGUUAAAGAAUUAUAAUUAACUAGUUUUUUAUAGUAAACUAGUUUUUAUACCCUACACCACAAAGUGGUCAGCGUAUUAUGUCUUUGUGCAUUUGUUUGUAACAAGCAAAAGGAAACGAGAUAGACCCAAAGUUCCUUUUGAUGAUCUGCAUAGAAUCUCAUUCUGAGACGAUUUAUGCAUGUCCGUCCGUCUGUCCAUGUAUUUUUGUAAACAAAGUACAUGUCGCAUUUAUUGCCCGAUCAAGAUGAAAUUUUGCACAAGUCUUUUAUUUUGACCCAAGGGCGAACCCUAUUGAAAUUCCCAUAUAUAUCUUCGUCCGAUUUGAUUUUUAUUGCGCACCAAACGUGUAAUAUCAGGCCAAAUAGUAUGGAAUUUUGCACAUACGACCAAAUUGGCCUGAAAAUAGUAUGCCAAUUUUUAUGGAAAUCGAUUCAGAUAUACAUAAAGCUCCCACAUAUAUUGUUCAUCCGAUUUGUUAUUUUUGUCCUCCGCAGCCGUAAUAUGCGCUCUGUAACAACGAUAUUUGGGGAAAUAUAUCAAAUACAACUCAGAAAUACCUUUGCUAAAUUUUAUCGAGAUCAUUGUAUUUUUGGUAAUAUCCAUAAAAGAUAAUACUAUUUAUUCCCACAUUAAUUCCAAAUAAAUCCGAUUUCAAAAGAAGUUGCCAAUUCUAAAGUAAAUCAAAAAUGCCUAAAUUGACAAAUUCAGUAUCCUUAAAAACAUAAAACAAAUUUCAUAAGCAUUGGAAAUUUUUUUAAUUUGGAAAUAUUGAAACUGUUAACUUUUAUAUAAUUGAUUAGAAUCUAAGGCACACUAUUGUUUGUUUAUUUUUUCUUACUUUGUUUUUUACCAAAUUUGUUUUCUCUCAAAAAAAAAAAAUAUAAAAUAAUUUCCGUUUUGUUCAAAAAACAUUGUGUGAAGCAUAAAAACCGUAAAUAAUAAAAAUCUAAAAUUAAAUUUUGAUAUAUAUAAAAUAACUAAGCCGUACUCAUUUGCAACGAAUUAAAAUACACAUCACAAUAAGUAAUCAGUUAAAAAUACAAACAAAUCAUAAAUAAUAAAAAAAAUAUUUUCUUUUUUAACAAAAUAAACACGCAAAAUUUAUAAUUACAAAAUAAACAAAAUACAUACACAUUAAAAUAAUUAUUGUCAGAUAAACAAAUUAAAGAGAAAAACAAAUUUUCCAAUUAAUCUAUAGCCUUAAUUAAAAAUUAAAUUUAACACACAGACAUAUAUUUUAAAAAUAUAUAUAAUUUUAAGAUUUUAUCCAAAAUUAUAAAAUGACGUAAAAAGCAUUAAUUUCAAAACUACAGAAAUUGAAACACAAAAAACAACAUGAAAUCUAUAAAGCUCAAUUUGAUAAUAUUAAAAAAAAAACAAUUCUUAUCAUCUAUCUCUCUACAACUAUAAUAUGAAUUGAGGAUUGGUAAAACAUUAGAUAUAUACACAUAAAAAUAAAUAAAAACAAAACUUUUUUAACUCCUUAAACAAAACGUAUCCUAUUUAAUCAUACAACAACAAAUAUAAAAUAAAGCAAAAAUAACAAUUGCAAAUUAUAUAGAAACAAUAAAUACCAUUGUUUUAAGCCAUUUAAAUAGAAAUUUACCAUAGAAUCACAUAUAAAUUGAAAGUAAAGAAAUAUAAAAUUGAUUACAGAAACAAACACACAGUUACAUACACAUAACCAACAAACCAUACCGACAAAAAAAAAUCACACACAAAUAAAUACACAAUAAUUUUAAGAUUAAGAAUUUUUAACAACAGAACGAAAUUAACAAAAACAUGAAUUCAGUUUAAUUUUCUUUUUUUUUUAAUUAAGAAAACUUCAAGAAAAAUUCUGUAUUACAAAUAUUAUAAUAUAUACAACAUAUAUGGAAACUUAACAGUGAGAAUAAAAUGCCUAGAAAACCACAACCAACAAAAAUUAUUAAAGCGUUUAUAUAACAAAAUUAAAAAGAAAACAAAACAUAUAAAAUAAUAUUUACCAUUUUAAAAACACCAUGCUUUAAUUUUUUUGUUCAACAAAAAAAAAAUCAAAAUUAAUUCAAAACUCUUAACAAAUCUUAGUAUUUUUUUCAAACUCUUCCCUCUAUAUCUAUAAGAAGAAAAGUUAGGGCAAAAAUUAAAGUAUAUGUUUUGACAAAUUCAAAGCAAAUAUAAAAAAAUUUAUAAUAUUUUUUAUAAGAAGUAACAAAAAACAAACAAAAAUUAAAUUUAUACUCCUCUCCCCAAUUUAUAUACAAUUAAAUAAAUAGAUUUAUAUAUAAAGAAAAAAUAAUAAUAUAAUAUAAAACUCGUACUAAUCCCCCUAGUAAAAGAAAAAAACACAUUUUAAUAAAAGUUGUAAUAACACUUAAAAAGGCAAACUAUAUUGAACCCCCUUUUAUAAAUCUAAAGUAAGAAAUUGAAGUAAACUGUCAUAACUCCUGUUAAGCUCCUUCCUACUGGCUUGUUUUCCCUCUAAAAUUAUUAUUUUUAUUUUGUUUUUGUCAAAAGGCAACUUCAUCAGACCAACAACAAUAUUGUUUUUUAUAAAUUUAACUAAAAAAUUUGUAUAAAUUAUUAAAAUUAUAUUUUGAAUUGUUUAGAAAUUUACACUUUACCUGUUUUGUUUCCUUGUUACCCUUUUCGUUUGUAAAAAUUUUUGUUCUUUUUCUCUUUUGUUGGAGUUUGUUUUCUUAAAAGAGUUCUUUUCUAUAACGUUGCGAUUAUGGAAAAUAUCUAACGAACGGAUAAGGAAAAGGAAAAAAAGGUUUACUAAAACGAAAAAUUUAAUAAGAAAAAUCAAUUGACAAUAAGUUAAAGAAAACAUAGAAUAGAAAAUCUAAUGUUAUCUUUCAAAAUCCUUUAAAAGCAGUGAAAAACUUUAUUGGUCUGUUUCACUAAGGUGAAUGAAAUAUUCUUUUGCUUCCAAUUUUCUAAAAAAGGUUAUUCGAAUCAAAAUUUGGAGGGUAACGUCAAUGUUUUGCUUCACUAGCUUGGAUUAUUCGACUUCAAGUAUGGAAGAUAAUUGACUUUUUCAUUAAAUGUAAAGCUAUUGUUAAUUGGUCAUUGAACAAAGGAUUUUAAUUGAACUUUUAAAGAUGUUGUUGAUUGAUUUAUUUGAAUUAAAAAAUCUUUUAAUUUAUUUUUCCUUGUCCGCCAAAGUAAAGUUUUUUGGUGACUUUACAACCCCAUAAAAAUAAUUGCAUAUAUUUUUAUUUAAUUAUUAUUUUUAUUAUUAAUUAUAAAAUUGUACUGAUCUUUUAUUUUUUUGUAUUUAACAAAACAAUUGGUUUUAAGUUUUUUAUUGUUACUUUUAUUACUAUUCUAAGUUUUUUGUAAUUGUUUUUGUAAUUUAAGUUUGCGCAGUCAAUAAUAUUGGAAAAAAGAAAAAUUCGUUGUAAAAAAUUAUAAUAUUUUGUAAGGAUUUAAGACCAAUAUUUUUUUAAUGCUAAAAUUUACAUAUAUUAAUAUAUAUUUUUGUUUGUAUAAUCAUUAGUAAUUGUAACCCUUAUUUGUUUAGCGAGAAAAAAAGAAUAAUUAUUUUGUUUGGGAAAAGAAAACGUUUGGCAAAUUUUUAAGAUUUAAGUAAAAAAAAUUCAUGUCUUUUGAAUAUAUUAAUAUUUUAUAUAUACAUGAAUAUAAAAAAAUAUAUAUUUUUUGUUUUUCUGUUUAAGUUUAAAUUUAGCAAAAUAUUUAACAACUUAUAUACAUUGUAAACAUUAAAAAAAUAUAAAUUGUAAAUUAAACAAAAUUAAGUAAAAAUUGACAAAACGAAUCUAAAAACUAAAUGAAGUUGCAAAAAGCGUAAUAAUGAAAAAUGUAAUUGUUUUUUUUUAAGUUUUAGUUAUUUUGUAAAGUCUUCUUUUUUUCAUAUUUUUUUAAUAAUUAAAAUUAAUAUUAAAUUUAAAAAAUAUUGUAAGGUGAAAAAAUGCAAACAGGCAAAUGACACAUGGACUGGACAUUUCAAAAAUCCUCAAAUGUUUUGAAAGCGCUAUCUUUAAGUAGAUUCUACAUUCAAAACUGCUUGAUGAUAUUCACAUUUUAAAAUAUUUUCUUAUAACUUUUGAAAUAUUUUUUAAUAUUUAAACUUAAAUUUACUUAAUUCCAUUGAAAUUCUCCACUCAGGAUUUAUGUACUUUUAAAAGAACUUCCUGAUAAUUCUUAUGGUUCAAUUGAAUUUUUUUCGGCAUUUUCGACAAGUUCACGGUUCGAUUGUUUAAAUCAAUUAAAUUAUAUUAUAUUUUUGCCACCUCAAUUUAUAAUGCAAAGCUUAAAGUACAAAAAUCUUAAAAUUCCAAUUUGGCUUCUUGAGCUCUCCCUCAUCAGCUCCUGUGUCAUUUGUGUUAAGGUAUGAACACUUCGUCAUAAACCAUUUCCCCGUCACCUUACAAUGUAUAUUUUUUAUAUAUAUAUGUUUUAUUUUCUUCUAAACAAAUUGUGAUUAAUAUUAUUUUAUAUAUGUAUACCAUCAUUUAAACAAAAUAUUUAAAAAAUAUAUCUUUAAAAUUGAAUACAAACAAAUAAUUAAAAAUUAUAUAUUGUGUAGACUCAUCAUCUUAUAGACUGCGUACGUAUAACAUAAAAAUCAACAACAAAAAUUGUAUAAUUAUUAAAAAAAAAUAAUUAAUUUAACUAAAUUAAUAUAAAAGAAUAAUUCUAUUGUAAAUGUAUCAUAUUAUAAAUUGGCAAAAUAAAGAAAAAAAAACAAUUGAAAUAUACACAAAAUAAAUUUGAGAAAAAAAAAAAACAAAACAUCAACUAUUUUGGCUUUUUUUCUAAAUUGUUAUAUUUUUGGUUUUUUGUUUUCUAACAAAAUUCAAAAUUUUAUUGUUUUUCAAUAAUAUUGAAAAUUUAUCUUUUUGAAUAUUUUCCAGGUUGAAAUUUGGCCUUAAGAUCACAACAAAUCCAAAAACAAAAAAUCUCAUGUUUGGCUUCAAAUAUAAAACAAAACAAAAAAAUCAUAAACAAUAAAUCAAAAUCAAAACAAAAAGAAUGGCGUAUAUUUCAAAACAAAAUUCUUUCAUCUUCCUAACCCCAACAAACCAAACCCCCCACUGUCAUGCAUCAUCAACAAGGUUCAACAAAAAAAGAUAGCGUUUAGCAAAAAUCCAAACAAAGAGAAAAAGGACAAUAUUUUUUACUUUUGAAUUUUUCUAAUCAUGGAAAACACAAAGCAAGAGAACUUUUUCCAUAAUUUAUAGAAAUUGCCUUUUGUUUCAACUUCUUUAACAAAAAGAUAUAUAUAAUUUUAAGAAUAUUAAAUUUAAUUGACUUUUUUCUGUGUGUACUUUGUUUAAUUAUGUUUAAUUAAAAUCUAGGUUAUAAUUCUUUUUUUAUAAUUAUUGUGUUUCUUUUUUUAAAAAAUACAAUAAUUUUAGUUACAUUUGUGUUAAUUUGUCAUGUCUCUAAGAUUAACCACUGAACUCUGCUCUUAUCAUAGAACAUGGAUAUCUGAGUAUGUAAACUCAAAAGAAAAUGAAGGUAAUAUAUUUAUUUAAUUGGGGAAAAUUUUUUAAAGAAAAGAGAAAGUAUUCGCAGCUUUCUUUGUUAUUUCAUUUAAGGAAGUUUUUUUUCCUUUAUUUUUUAGAUAAAAUUUCAAGUUUAUUCAGACUAAAAUUCUAAAUCGGUUUAACGAUGUCCGUCUGUCGUAGAGCGUCAAAAUUUAGCAGAACGAUUUCUAUUGUGUCUAGGACGCUUGGUAUUGAAAAUGAGAUAUAUGGGUCCACGUUCUGGUGUAGUCUCCAUAUAACGGUAGCUCCCGAUAUUCGGUAUUUUGAUGAUUUUGCCACAUUUUUUCCCGGAUUUGUCUAAAAAUUGGUAUUUGUUAGUCAUAAUGGGUUCUAGCUCCGGUGGCGAAACAUUGUAUGUAUAGGUCCACGUUUUGGUAUAGCAUCCAUAUAACGGUACCUCCCGAUAUUCGGUAUUUACAUUUACAUUUACAAGAAUACAAUUAAAAAAAGAAUAAUUAAAAAUUCCCCAUAAAAAUGUGCCUUGAAAACGAGCAGGGAAAUUUCUUUAAAUAAAACGAUUCCUUUUAAGAAAUAAUUUUAGAUUAGAAGGAGAAAUUAUUCAAAAUCGCUCGGAAUUGUUUAAAAUAUUUUAUUGAAAUCUUUUGGGGUAGUGAAUCAUUCAACACAUUGUUGUUUGAACAGAGUUUGUGGUUAUUCUUAGUAAUGAAAAUCAUGAUAGAUUUUAAAGAAUCACACUAUAUAUGAAUAAUUAAUUUACAAUAGUUCGAUUUUAUAAUACUAUAUACAUACUUUUGUUUUUUUAUUGUUUUUUUUUAUUUUUCAUCAACGCUUUUUUAUAUAAUUUUACUAUUUUUAGUAUAAAAAAAAACUGGAAAAAAUUAAAUACUUUUUGUAAACCGUAAGCAAUUUUAUUGUCGACAAAAUGCUUUCACAUUGCAAUAGUAAGAAACAAGAAAAAUAUUCCGAUAGAAAGAAAUGUGUUUAAAAUUUAUUAAAACGAAGAAGAUGAAGAAGCAUACUAUUAUUUGCAUGUAAUGUGUGGAUGAAAAUAAAAAACAGAUUGUUAAUAAUAAGAUUUAAAACAAUAUACAGAUUUAACAAACAAAAUAAACCGCUUAAAGUAACGUCGCUCUUUUCCAAACAACCAUCAAACACCAACAACAACCAACAAACAGCAACAACAAACGUCAGUCAACAACAACAUUAAGCCACCACCAUCAAUUCACUUUUUUUAUUUGAAUAAUUUGUUUUCAAAAAAUGAAGUAAAUCAACAACACAAACUCAAAUAACAACUAAAAAUAGCCAACAAACAAACUCAACAGCAACAACAACAACACCUGCAACAUGUAGAACGAAUUACAUUGAUUUAACUAUUUUUUGUUUUAUACCAUAUUGUACUUUUAUUUUUUUGAAACUGAAACACAUUUUUUGUAGAAAAUCUUAAGAAAGAAAUUUAUUGCAAAACAUAUUCAGCAAAAACAAACAGAAAAAAAUAACAUCAACCCCCUAACUUUUUUAUUGUUAAAAAUCUUGACAAAUUAUUAUAUAUAUAAAAAAUAAAUGAAAAACAAGUUUUUAUAUGAUGAAAUA